GAUGCUCUCGCGCUGCGCACACUGUCGGGUGCUCGUGACGGUCAGGUCCUCUCGUACGCGUCGCCGUCUCCGCGUUCUCGAUACGUUUAACAACGGUUCGGCGGUUGCAUCGUAACGGCGUUUACCCCGUGUCGUUUUCGUCCGGCGUUACUGUCGCGCGCCCACCGACACGUUAUACCGUAGUUUUUUUUUUUUGUUUUUUUUUUUUUAAAUUUUUUUUUCUCGUCUCGGCCGUUUUUUUUUUGUCUCUCCGGAAAAUUAUUUCGCGAGUGCGAGUUUCCCGCGCAGUGUCGGCGCCGGACGCGCGGUAAAGCGUUCAUCGCCCGACGACGACCGUUUUCGCGAACACCGCGUGCCGCGUGCACGGGCGAACGGGCGACCAACAGUACAUCGCAGACGCGGUUUUCACACGAGUGAUGGUGCCGGAGCCCUGCGUCGCCGUCGCCGUGAUCCAGGUUAGCGGCUAAAUAUUACCGGUACCUACCACCGGGGUCAGGCACGGUCGGGUUGUGCACCGUCGGCAGUAUUUUACCGGCCGAAAGACGCGUCCGUCGCGACGGCGUCCCGGGGCGGGCGUUGAAAUUCGAUUCGGGGCCGUGAACGCGUCCGUCUCAGACGCGUACGUCUACACUCGGACCAGGCUCCGUGAAUUUGUUUCGGGGGGGGGGGAGGAAACCGAAUUGCUCCGGGCCGCGACCGACGUGUUUCGGAACACCAGCGAUCGCCGUCAAACGCGAUUCCAAAAUGCCGGUUUUUACGGUUAUUGCGGGCGCACGGUAUUGGCCGGGGGGGUGCGUUGCUUUAAAAAAAACCGAUCGGCAGCAGUCUACGCCGUCGUCGGCAAUUGUUUUUCGACGUUCCCGCAGUCGACGCGGUUAUUCACGCGAAUCGUCAUAAUUUCGGGCGAGAAAAAUAACAACAAAUGAAUUCGCAAAAACGUUUUUCGAUCGUUUCUCUGCAUUUGUCAUUAUUAGAUCCGAGUAAACAACAACAAUAACAGUGGUCGUUCGUCGAAAUCGCUAAAACUGCGCGUUUACAAUAUUUACGGCGUUUGCCGUUUUCGGUUUGUUAUGAGCGGGCCGUUGUUGUUUUUCAAGUUUUCUCCCCCGGUUUUUCGUCCGGAAAAACACUAGGCUCUGUUUUAACACGAUCCCGGUACGACCCGCGGUCAUUGCGCGCCGCGUGCUCGGCCACCGAAGACUCGCGGGCGCGCCGCCGUCGUUACGCAGUUUUGCGCGACGCGAGUUCCACGAGUCCGUUGCGAUUUCUACAGGGACCGUAACCGCGGUAUAAUGACAGCGUUACGCGUCGGUCUUCAAUAUCGAUCGCGAUAGCCAUUGCGCGAUGUGGUUUCAAAUAAUUAUAAUUUUUAUUUAUUUUUUUUUUUUUAUUGUAUCCGCUCGUCGUCGUUUCAUGCGUGUAUUCACGUUCGACGCAUCACGUCGGGGGCGAAACCGUGUAUUUUCAACGUUUUUACGAAUCGAAGAAAAAAACAAAUGAAAACAUCAUAGAUAACGCACGCGUUAAAACCGCACACUGUAUCGUGCGUGCAUAUAUUAUUACAAUUUUUUUUUUUUUUUAAAUCUAUUUACUUUUAUAAUGUAAAUUAGAAACGCGGAUAAUAUACGGACGUAUAACGCGGACAUGGUAAAUAUUUGAAUUUCGAAUACAUUACUGCGCGUACGUAUACGCAAGCACGCACACACACACACACAGACGCAUAUACACGCACAUUACCUGUACUGAAAUAAUAUCAGUCGUAAUACGAAAUUUAUGUCUUCAUUCAUUCGUCCGUUCGUAUGCAUAAUAUGUAAAUAAUUUAAAACGUUUCUAUUCGUUUUAUUGAUCAAAGUGUUAUCGGCUGCACGGGUAUUGUAAUAAAAGAAAGAAAUAUUUUACAACGCUAAGGAUUUCGUCCCCGGUUUUUUUUUUUUUUUUAUGUCUUAUAUUAAAUAUUUUAUUCUCGACUCGUUUUUAAGUACCUAUAUUAUAAUAUUUUAAAAAUUACGCCGCUACAUUAUCGUUUGGUAUUCUUCGAGUAUUCGAUUAUACAAACAAACGAAUUAAGUUUUGAAAACACGAGUACUCGGUACAAGUUUUGAUAAUAUAUUUGACACUAAUGUUAUUUAGACCACGAAAAUCAAUGGGAAAAAUGCUGAAUAACGACUUGAGCCCUCUUCUUCGCCGGAUCAUAGAAAUAUUUACACGGUUUCAUCAACAAAGUCCGCCGUGUUGUGAUAUGCUCUAGAAAAUUAAGCUCGUUCGCCGUCAUAAAGUUUGAGAAGGUUAGACUUGUAGAAUGUAUUUUUAAGUUGUAAUUUUCGUAACUAUUCAGUUUCGGUAUAUCACCAGAUCUUCAGGUUACUGAUUACAAUGUUUUCGGUAUGAUUACAUAUUAAUAAAAAAACAAACUUACAAACUUAAAUUAAAAAUAAAAUACAAAAACGUUAUAAAACGAAUUUAUGUAAGUGUCUCUCUAAGUCUCCAAGUCUUUUUAAACAAUUUCUUUUUUUUUUGUUUGUAUUUAUAACAAGAGCGUCGAAAUCUCCAGCACACAAUCAUUAUGCUGUUUUAAUCUCUUUUUACCGCGCGUCCCUCCCGAGUAGUCGCACGGGCACCUCAAAAGGAAUGCCGAUAAUAUAUUUUGAAUUUAUUUCGUUUUGAGUUUUAUAAUACUGCGGGUAUUCGAUAUUAUUUUUAUCGGUAACAGAUUUAAAAAAAAAACAAAAAUAAUCAUUUCAUACGGAUUUGUCGCCCCUCUUUUUUUAAAAGGUUGACGUUAAAUUCGACCACGGACCCGAAUACCCAUUGUAUAAUUUAUUUUCGAUAUUUAAUUUUUCGACCUCUGGUUUGAACCACAAAUCUGAAAACGGUGUAAACUCGAAACGUGUGUGAUGUUUCAAUACAAUAUUGUAUAAGUCAUUAGAUAGAGCACGCGAACAAAUUUCGACGGUAGCUGGCGGGGUUGAACUCCCGAAACCCCCCUCAGGUACGGCUUUUUUUAGUGAUUAUACAAGUAUCAUUUUCUCUAUAAUCAAACGGAUUUUGAACGCGUACAGUUAUUGUUAACAGUUUUGAGCGGAGCGAGGUGUAGGUUUUACUGUGUGUGUUAUUUUUCAGUCCCCGAACAAAUCGCCGAUUAGAAAUCUGGCUCUAAUCAAAUAACGACAAGACAGAUUUUUUUUUUUUUUUAUCUCCAUAGCGUUUUCGACGUAAUUGGUGUACUUGGGUGGGUCGUUAUCGAUUUCUUUAGUAGUUUUCAUUUCACACGGGAAAAAUCGAAAGGACCGAAACACGUGUAGAGGAAUAACAAACACAUUUAUCCGCAUUAACGAUUUCGUUAUAGUUUUUUUCGCCAUCGGGAGGCGCCACUAAAGCGGACUGUUUUUCCGGCCGAGUCGAACUCGGCCGUAUACUUCCUUUAUCCCCGGCCGUUGUUACAUUGCGGACGAAUGUGAAUCGUCAUAAUUUAUUUACGAUCGGCUAUUGUCUGCCGUAAUGAUACCUACCUAAAAUAAUUACAUACAAUUUAUUUGACGAACAAUAAUGUUAUUCUAAAAAAAAAAAACACUUUUUCCGUCUAUCUCCGUGCGUAAUCUAUACCGACACAAAUACAAAUAAUAAUAAUAAUAGUAGAUAGGUAUUGCACCCCGAAGGUCGUUUUACAGCUGUGUUUCGUAUCACAUAUAUUAUUAUUAAUUAAUCAGCUUUUUAUUUAUUCGUUGAUGAGUUAUCAUCAUCGUAAUGUAGACAAUGAAUCAAAUAAUAUCAUGAUUUACUUUCUUUUUUUUUUUUUUUUGUUUUUUUUUUGUUUCUAGUUAUUCUCAUAUUACUCAACGUAAUCUACAAACUACACGCGGCCACAAUAAAGGAUAAUAACCGUAAUGUUCGAAUUAUUAUUUUUUAUUUAUAAAAUGAAUAAUACACACGAGUGCAGUAAUAUUAUAUGAUUUAUAGGUUUUUUAAAAAAAAAAUAAUAAUAAUAAUAAUGAUUUAUUUGUACACAAUAAUGGUUAAAAUAGUAAAAUAUAAAUAAUAAUAAUAACGAUGGCCUCCGUUUAUCGCCGAUAUUUGAUGAAAAAAAAAAAAUAAAAAAAAAAAGUAAUAAUAUUAUUAUGAUUCAGUAUUUUAUUAUUGUUGUACAUAAUACGUAUCUGGAAAAGGAAAGUUUAAAUUUUUUAUUUACAGACGAACAUUUAUUUCUUAGGUUCUGUGUGCAUAACAAGUUAUUAUAAUCGUACUAUAUCAAGGUUUGUUUAUUUUACGAAAAACGUAUAUUGUUUUUUUUUUUUGUUAUAUUCAUAAAUAUGCUUCAUAUUGUUCACGUUGUGCUUUAAGAUCGACCGCAUUUGAUUUCAUUUUUUUAGAUUCCCGAUAUUUUUACCGAAAUAAAAUUUAAAAAAAAAAAUAAUAAUAACAACCAACAGUAAACGACGAUAAGUAUAAUAUAUCGGUUUUAUUUUACAAACGAAUGUCGUAUCCUCCUGGUUUCAUUUGAAAUGUUUGUAGAGUGUGAAAAUCUAAAAAAUCGCCCUACCGGCAACAAUAUACGGUUAAGUUCAUAGUGAAAUUCAACCAAACUUUUAUCACUUCAACCCGCUUGCAAAAAAACACGCGAUUCCCGAGUUUGAGUUCACGGAGUUCUGGUGGAAAAGUUUUCGCAGGAAAAAAAAAACACAUCACUGUAAGACCAAUACGUCCCAUUAUACGUUCCGUUCGGAAUCUGAAAAUAUUCAAAAAAUUUAUUGAAAAUUGAAAAAAAUCAUUUUGUUUCCAAAAGUGCGAUUUUUCUAACGUCGAGCCCUCGAAAACCGUAAUAUUAUUGUGAAACAUUUUUUUAAAUUUUUUUUUUUUGACGGACCUUAUUGCACCGAGCCACAGAUAUAUCAUGGCGAACAAUAUGCAGUAUGCAAUAUACUGCAAUAUAUGUCUAUAUUUUCGGAGAAAAUUCGACAAAAAACGAUUUACGGUUACGCAAUGGUAUAUUAUAUUAUUAUUGUAUGUAAACUGUAAAUUGUGUAAAUCGUCGGUGUUUAAAACAUAACAAAUGCAAGUGAAGUUUUUAACCAGUGGCGUGCCCGGGAAUAAUCAAUUGCGAAGGGAGGGGGGGGAGGGAUGUAGCAAGCGAGAACCAUGAAUAAAUCACGAAUUCGUCUUCUCUACACAAAUCGACUGCGGGAAUCGGUAAUUUAAAAACCGGAUCCUAAAAAAUGACAGUUUCCGAUCAGUACGUCAAGUUCAUACUCGCGACUUGGCCGAAAUAUAUGCAUUUCGACAUUUAGAUUACUCGUAUUUUUCUUGUAUUUUAAGCCGAUAAUGAGGGUUGGGGAUAUAACCCCUAACCUCCGCCAUCCUCCCGCGCACGCCACUGUUUAUAGCCAAUCGCAGGUAAUCGCAGGUUGGAUUUAUUCGACGGUUAUUAUGUUGAAUGAUUCAUCGCGUACCUAUCAUAUUUUUCCUCGGCCGUUCGCGAUUGAAUAAUAAUAUUUUAAAAAUACCCGCACGUACCCAUACGCACUUGGGUAUAGACGAUUGUUUUUUUUUUUUUUUUUUUUUUUUUUUUUAUAUGAAGGACGACCGACUAUUCAUCGAUCGCGCGUAAUAUUUUGAAUAUUAUAAUAUGUGCCGUGUAAGCUCGAAAUUCUCCGCACAAACCGUUUGUUUUUACGCCGCGAAAACCGUGCAGCGUUCCAAAUGUAUUACCGUCGGAUAAAAUACCCGUCCCAUGUGCUCUAUCGUUUUCCAAUCCGAUCGUUUCACCUUUCAUCGCUCGAUUCAAACGCACGCGAUCUCACACGCACUACGCAAUAAAGUACGUCACGAUACGACGUAAAUACUGUUGUCGAAUUUCGCAUCAAUCAGAGGCGUAAUUACGGGGGGAGAUACGGGGAAUAGAUCUCCCCUCCGCGAACCGUAUUUGUAUAGUAUGUUGUUAUUUUAUACAGAUUCGAAGUUCAAAUGCGAAUUUUCCAAACUAUUGCGAUAUUAUAAACGUUUAAUUCGUAUUUCAUUAUUGUACCAGGCGAACGAUAUUCGAAACAGUAUUUGUGUCAAAGUAAAUCGCGAAUUUCUUCACGCUGAGCUUUACAUACCGCGCGUUCGAACGUGAUUAGGACGUUGCGAUUUUAAAAACGCAGACGUGCAGUUUAACAGAAAAUAUCCGUGUCCUGGUGAUGAGUUAUUACACGUCGGUAAGGGGAGGGGGGAGGUUGUAUGGGGCUAACUUGCCGCGAGAGUGCCGUGAAGAUUUAUUUUGAAACCCCCCCCCCCUCCUUCUAUCCCCUUUAAAACAUUCUCGCCUCUGGCGCCCUUGCAUACGCAUACGGAUAAUACAAAAUAGGUGUAAUGUAUGUACACACGAAAUGAUUUUUUGUAAUAUUAUUAUCAUCUUGGUACGUGCUCGACCUGUACAUUGUAUAUAUUUUAUGAGCAUGGCCGUGUUAAGCCAUUUGGCGCCCAGGGCAAUCAAUUUUUACACGUCCCUUCUUAAGAACUUAAGGACUUACCCGGGGAUGAUUUAGAGGGGUUGAUUCUUCCAAAUGUGUGUGUUUUUUUUGUUAUUUUAUUAAACCCACAGGUAUUAAAAUUUUAAUUAAUUAAGAUGCUUUCUUACUCUAAAUAUUUUUCUAGGUAGAUACACACAUUUCGUUACUAGGCUGUACUUUUAUUAGUUAACAACCGAUAUUCAACAAUAUUAUUAAAUCAAAGCGUUUGAAAAUAAAACAUAAUACAAUAAGUGACAUAAUAAUAAUGAUACCGUUAAUUUUAUUACGAGUUUUAUACUGAGCCGGGCGCCUCGUAGUUUUAAAAAGGUUCGGCGUCCCGAGGCAAAUGCUCCCAUUGACCUCCCUUCCCUUUUCACAGCUUUGUUUAUGACUCGAUAUGACAUAAAAACGGUCUUUGAAUAGAGAAAUAUUAGUUUAAUGGUUUUAGUUUGCGGUUGUUCAAUACCCCCGGGGAAAUUGUCAAUAUUUUAUUUGGCGGUAAUAUUUUGCAUUUGAUUUGAAAAAAAAUUAUUUAUCAUGUUUACCUAUUUCGUAUACCCGUUUAUCAUUGAAAUUAAAAUCACAUUCAUGUCCCGGGCCGUGUUUGAAUAUCCGGAGUAAAGUAGAGCGAGUGUCGAGCAGUAUAGCAAUACUAUUGCUAUCAAUCGAUUAUAGUAUCCGCGUGGUUAACGUUGAUAAUAAAUGACGAUAAUUAUUGUUUCCAAUCAAAUUAACGGUUUUCGUUUAAACAGUUUCGUUAAAAAUUCCAGGGAGGAAGGGUAGGAGAGAUCCGCGAGAAACGGGAACGACAAAUUUACUUGAAAACAGACCAACGAUUAAAAUAUUGUUACAUUAUAGAAACUGUGCGGUCGCGUCCACGUCAAUAAGAUCGUCGGAAAACGGAAAUCGAAUGGUUCUGGACCGCUAGCGCUUGUGUAACAACGGCGUGAGAGAAUUCAGAAUUCCCCCAGCGCGCGUUUCGACGUUACGCGCGUAGAGAAAUAUCAAUCGGCGCGGAGUGCGACGCGUCAGUGCGUUCGUAUGGACCGGCGGUUUCAACUCGGCAAACGCCUUUAUCGCACGCCGUCGGGUAACCCCAAUGGAAUCUGUAGAAUCGAACACUUUUAAUUUUAUAUUAACCACCGUCACCAUUAGCGAAAUCAAAACGACCCGGUUACCCUCAGUUGACCAUACGUAUUACAUCAGUGGCGCGUCCACUGGAGGAGGGCACAGGGACACGCGUCACCCUCCCCACUCUGAAAAAUGGAUUACGCUACCGCAGAUUUCGCGUCAAUUUACCAUACAAUUCAUUGUCAAUAUACUGAAAAUGUAAAUAACGUGUCCCCACCCCCUCUGCCCCUUGAAAAAAUGUCCGGGUCUGCCGCUGUAUCGUACAGUCGACUAUUGAGUUGACUUUUCGAAACGCGCGAAUGGCGAAUCGGUUCCCUACAAAGGCCGGUUUAGAACUGAUGAGUUCGCUUUGACAUAACUGCCGAAUAUUAUAGAAUUUUAAACGUUUAAUUUAUUCGCGCGCGUACAUGCGUAUUGUUGGUACUGCUGUAGUUUCGGCGUAAUUCCGGGGCGACCGUGCGGCCCGAGGCGUUUUCUUUAAUUACAAAUAUUUUUUUCGCGGAAUGGGGCGGAAGCCGGUACCUUAGUUUGUAUAAUAUAGAAAAGAAAAAAAAAAGAGCUAAUCGAAAAACUUAUAAUAACAAGUCGCUGGUAAAAAAAAAAAAAAAAAGCGCGUAACCGCGUUGAUCGACUUAAAAGUAUAUUCGUAUAGUUUCAGUCGAGUGAUUUGACGUUGAACGACGUUUUGAAAAUUGGCAUUUUUCAUCCCGCGGGGGUCGGGUAAAAAUGAUUUGAAAAUCUCAUAAAAAAAACCGCGUGAAAAAAACUAUAUUGAUUUCUAUCGACGGAGACGACGUGAAAUCGAUUUAUUUAAAAUGUCUGUGUCCGCGUUAGCUCUGAAAUACCAAAUACCGAAAACAGCGAUAAAAAAAAAAAAAACUCGAAAAAUCUUCAAGCCUCCGGUGGCUCGGUCGAGGGCGGAGGGACUGAGGAGACAAACGCUCUCCUUUAUGGCCACACGGACCGCGGUCCUGUAGCGUUUUACGAUUUCAGUGAUGUUAACUGCAUAAUAUGUUUCCAGUUCUUUCUUCCGUUCCUGAAAUUCCAUUUCCACCCUGAAAAAAAAGCGAAACGCCGGACAGGACGGCCAUAAAAAGCGCGUUAUGCUCACAAGACAUAACGCCAGCGUUUCGAUGUUAUUGUUUCACGAUUGAGGUUUUUUUUUUUUUUAUGGAUUUUUAUUUUCGGGAGGAUGAUGGGGGGGGGGAGGGUCGGUGAACGCCACCAACUGUCCGAGUCCGUUAAGUCUUUGAUCGGCGGUGUUCCCGAAAAGUCGCCGGUAGACAGACGAAAACAAAAUUACACUGGCCGCCGCCGCCGCCGCCGGCGGCGAAAUCGCAGUCGCGGCCGGGGUCGGUGUAACGGCGCGGAAACCCGCGCCCGUCGCGUCGCACGACGCGCGGAUACGCGGCCAAUAUUUACGGGCGAAUUGAGAAGCACGCGACGAUACGCGACGACGGCCGGCGUACGCGUUCGGCAUAUAUCCGAUGGCGGGCCGGCGAUCGGCCGCGACGUUCUUGUACGCGCGGCGCAGUGAACAACACGGGAGUGAUGUCGGUCCGGCGCGGGAUUUUCGGCCGUCCGAAACCCCCCUCCGUACGCCGCCCGUUCCCCCGGCCCCACUCCCCCCCCCGGGCGUCCGGCCGACCGCGUCGCGUCGUCGCGCGCCGGCGUUUCCGAAUUCCUCGGCGACCGCGGCGUGUACGAAUACCGCGUGUUGCGCGCGCACAGGGCGAUUGUUCUCGUUUGACGCGGUAGCCGGCCGAACGUUUUCGGCGCGCCGUUGACGGGCGCGUACGCGGUUCGAAGGUCGGACCGUUCGAUUCGGUAAACCGUCGGCUUUUUGCUCUCGCUACGGAAAACCGCUGUCCGCCAAACGGUCUUUUUCGAAAACAUAUUCGACACUUUCAGACUCCAGACGCCGGUCGCGGCUGUCGAUUCGGUUGACAAGGCGACGACGAAUUACCGAUCGCGUUCUUCUUCUCGUCGUCAAUAUCAUUCUCGGUUCAAAUACGAUAUCGUCAACAUAAUUUCACGCGCUAGCCAACGGCGUUAAAAACAGGCGCCGGGACAUCAAUUACUCCGAGAACUCCAAAGGUGCCCAUCUCCCCCCCGUCAGCUAUUUACAAAUGAAAAUCGUUUAUUUUAUUAUUGGGGUUUUUUUUACACACGUAAUCGCAGUGCAUUAUAAUACUGUACGUUGUCAAAUCGUCACGGCUAAACCAUUACAACGUCAUCCUAACUGCGCUCAGAAUCUAAAACGUCCGCACGGUGUAAACGCACGUAUCGCGCUGUAAUACAGUCUACCGCGUGUUUAUCGUGUACCCAUUUGCUAGUUACGACAAACGUAAACGUACGCGAACAGUUAUUGCAUUAGUAUUUGCAUCGCGUAAUUCAGAGAAGUGCCGACAGCCGAGCUAUUUUUACGACUGUCGUGGUUGUCGGUGGAUAUUCUCCGAAUGACCGUUUCGUAUCGACGUGCCGAUGAAUUUUCAACUAAAAACAAAUUGUACGCGAUACGCGCGCUUCUGUAUUGUUUUUGUUAUUAUUAUUAUUAUUAUUAUUAUUGAUUUGUAUGGUUUUUUUUUUCAUUCCGUUUUCGAUUCUGAGCGGACCGAGGAAUGUAUUGGUUGGUUUUACAAUGAUGUUUAUCGUUAUUAUUAUUAUUAUUUUAUGCGAACUCUUUUUCCACCAGAAAGCAUACUCCGGUUAUCAAGUAUCUGAAAGGAAAUUUUCUCCGGACGGUACUUUAGACAGGUCGUUUUUUUUUUUUUGAUAUUCUGAUUAAUAUUCGAUAUAACGAGGGAAACUUCGAUCUUUAGAUUAAAAAAGAAAGAUUAAAAAUAAGGUUGUCAUUGGCAACCGUUUCUAUUUAUUUUUCGUUAUUAUUACAUUUUUAUCAUUUUAAUUUUUUUUUAAACAAUCAUUGUUGUCGUAGAAACGCACAUUAUAUUAAUCAUUUUACCAUAAUAUGACAUUAUACCAUGUACUGUAUUGUUGACAAAGCAACAUUAUCAACUGAAUUCGGCUCAGAAUCGUUUUCUCGUUGCUUACAGAUAUACAUUAAAUUCCCGUCCGUAGCCCACCUUUCCAACUUGCUACCUACAACGGUGGCUGCACCCACGCGCGAAGUAUGUCCGUCCUUUUUGUUUUAUUAUUAUCGUUGUUGUUGCCAAAAAAACUGUACGUGACUCCGCCUAUCAUCGGGUGUGCGGGGCUCGGGGAUAUGCGAAGCUGAGAACAUUAUAUAUCUGAACAAAAAAAAUCCGGUUUCGAUUAGAUAAUGACGAUUUUUUUUUUUUUUUUUGUAUCAUAAUGUGACGUCGUCGUCGCUUCACGCCAAAUCCGUGUGCGAUUUCGAGCUCAUAAUAUUAUUAUAUAAACUACAUCAAAUUACGAUUUGAGCGAAGAGAGUAAUGUAUUGGUUUUUGUAUAAUGUUUUUUAUUUGUUCAAAAACCUUAAAUGCCUCUUUCGCUUCAGUUUUUUUUUAAGCGAAACAUGCCUAACGCCCUGACAAAAUUUUACAAAAAAAGCCCUUGUCUUUUUAAUGAUUCCAGAAAAACGUCUAGUAGAAAAGUCGGUUUACAUAUCAAAGAAAAAUAAAUAAAUAAAUUCCCAUGGUACUCAAAAUUAAAAAAAAGAAAAUGUAUUUUAAAAUGGCUAAUAUAGGUAAGAUAAUGCUUGAGCUAUACGCUUUUAGAUUUUUAAAAUAAAAAAAGGCGAUACUGAUAAAAUUAAAACUAUUUAUAGCAAACUUUUUAAUUCAAUAUACAGGAUGUUUCACAAAGAUUAGAUAUUAUAUUUUCUGCGUAUUGAAUUUGUUUUACAGUGAAAACCGCCAAUCAACAUUAAAAUAAUAAUUAUUACAAUGAUGAUUUUUUUUUUUUUUUGAAUCCAUUUUGCUGUACAAGUAACUGUCAUUAUUUUACAUUACAAAAAAAAAAAGGUGAAGUUAAAAAAAAAAAAAAAAAAAAAAAAUCGUUUGAAACAAUUUCAUUGUUAUCAUCGUGCAUGAUGCACCGUAUGCAUGAUAUUGAUUAUAAACGAUAAUUUGGAAUCUCUUUGACAAUAAAUACGGUUAACCGGUCGGUUAAUGGAACCUAAAAAGUACGGUGCACGGGGGGGGGGGAGAAAGCACUUACAAAUAAUAAUAAUAAUAAACAGGUCCGGGGGCAUCGAUGAUUUUCCGGUCGGUUAGACGACUCGAAAAGGACGCGCAACUUUGUGACGCCGCAUUUCCCUUGUACGUGGGCAUUAUAUUUUUUUGGUCGUCAUCGGCCAUCAUCAGUCCGCUGUUUGUUCCGGUUCGACGAGAAACCAAAAACAUAUAUAUAUAUAUAUAAUAUCAUUAUACUGGCAGCGGCUAUAGUACAAAAAGCUCAUACGCUUUCCAAUUGCACGUGUUGCGGAAAAUCCUUUACCCGUGUGAAAUUAUUCGACAGUCUCCGCUAUCUCACAAUCAAGCUGUCCGUAAACUCCGAAAAACGAAAUAUUUUAAAAAAAUAAAUUUCGUUUUUCAAAAAAAAAACAUACGUUGUUGUACGGCAAUUUUAAAAGCAACGUAACACAUUGUACCGCGGAGGGGCGUUUUACGGAGAUUUAAUAUUUUUAAGUGGUCGUGCACGUUUGGGAGGGUGGGUGAGUAACUGCCGCGGCAGGGUAAUAGCGUAUACAUUAUUUAGUCUUAUACCACUUAAAAAUAAUAAAUUGUCGCGCGGCACUGUAUAGACAAAAUCCGAAAUUACCGUGAUUUUUCAUUCUCGCGUACCAUACCCAACAACAACAAUUCGAUAUUAUUGUUUUGCUUUUUUUUUUCCACUCGAGAGUUUUUUUGAAAUUUAAUCUCCUUCAUAAUAGUAUUGACAGAUUGAAAGUUUUCUAAAAAUCAAUGAUCGUACACGGAUUUUAAACAUAGUUUAUUUAUUUUUUUUUUUUUCAACGGUCAACGUAAUAUAAACAAAACGUAAAACGAUAUGUACGUUAUAAACAAAUACAGCGUACACAAAACGCACGUAGGGUUCUAGAUUCCGAGCAUAUAGGUUAUUGCGUUUAACGUUUUGUUUGAUUUUCUCGGAAUGCGAUAUUAUACUUUUUGCAGAACAAUAAAAAUAUAGGUAUACUAGAAAAAGUUUAUCGAUAUAUUAUACGAAACCGCUGGGGGCAUAACGGAUUCGCGUUCAGGGGAACCUGCGAUUUUGCUUUAUUAGUUUUAGUAUUGAAGCGAAAUGCGAAUUGGCCUGUUAUCAACUAAACUUCAAGGGGAAGAACGUUGUCUGUAUUUGUACGGUGGUUUCGUUGUUUUGUUUUUCAAACGAGAUACGAGCGUGUGAGAAUCGCGAUUUAAAAACGGUUAUAUCAACGUACACAACAGAUACUUCCCUUGGGAGUUUAAUAAAUACGGGCAAUUCAAUCUAACAACAUAGUGAAACUAACGUUAUACAAUUGUCGGUAUUGAUAAACGCGAAUUCGAUACGUUCGUCAAGACGAAAUGCAUUCGCAGUGUCCCUAAUAGUUUUUACCGGGGGGGAGGGGGUAAGGGGGUGGUGGUGGGGUUGUACGAUAUGAAGAUUACGAAUUUCUGGUUGUAACGCGAGCGGAGUCGGUAAAUUGCGUCCCCAAAAAAAGGUCAUAGUCAUAUACUGUGUAAAUUGCGGCCCGUGUACUUUUAAAACGUACGUAAAUUGCGUCCCGGGUAUAUUUGAAAUGUACGUAAACUCCGAUUUAAAAUAAAUUAAAUUCCGAUUUCCGUUCGGUUGCACAAUUUGGAGAUAAGUAUUAAUCUCUGAUUGAUAAUAAUAUGUUCACUAAUAUAAUAUUACUAGCAGAUAGUAGAUCGCGAGCACACUUAUCGUUCGAUAGGUAACGGUUUUUCGAAAAACCGACGGUCGAAAAUACGCAGUACACAGCUCUCGUAAUGUACGGAUCUGUUUGACGCGCGCGGGUUCGGAACCGGGAACGAUGUCGUUGAACGCGACAAACGGAACGGUUUUUUUUUUUUUUUGGGGGGGUGUUGAUGCUUCGGCGCGCGCGUGUAUACCUGUGCAUAAAUGUAUACAUAUUGUGUACGGAUAGAACCGUAAGGACGACGACGGUAAUAAUAAUAACGGCUUACGAUAUUAUAACGCGUUACAACGAUGUUCAAUAAUAAUAAUAAUGAUAAUGAUAAUAACGAUAACGAUAAUGUCGUUAUUACUGUACAAAUUAAUAAUCGUUAAAUCCUCUGCCGCUUCCCGACCGAAUGCCCUACGCUAUCGCGUCGUUCCGCGUCACGGAUUUCAAUCGUAGUUUAUCGGCUAUAUAUAAUAAUAAUAAUAACAAAUAACGCGUAAAACUGCGGUAUAAAAUGUUUACCGGUCAAUGAGUACAAUUUUUUUUUUAAUUUUUUUUUUAUUGUUGUAAUAUCGCGACGGGGACAAAAAAAAAUAAAUAAAUAAAAACCGAUUCUUUUAUUUAAUAUACGGCGUACGUAUUGUGUACGAUUCGACGAUUCCCUCGCGCGUAAUUGCGUAUAGGGAAUCGUAAAAACCCGCCGACACGCAGAACGCGUUUUUUUUAUCAUUAUUAUUAUUAUUAUUAUUUAAACGCGGACCGUCGGUUUUCCCGGGGGGNGGGGGGGGGGGGGGGGGGCUUUGAACGAAAGCACCGAAAAACGUUCGUUUCUGACGAUUAUCCGCGGUCCGACGGCAAGUUGUACGCCUCCGACGAUCUCCAGCCCGCCAUCGAGCCUUCGCCCUCCGGUGCGACGUUUGACGUAUUUACCGAACCGUCUGUGCGGAAUUCAGAUUCAACGCCCGGUUUACAUUCGGCCGCCGCCGUAUCCACUCCUCGAAAUACUCCCGUGACGGCGGCGAGGCGUUUACAUUGCCGUGCCAAUUAGAGCGGCUGACCGGAUCGAUCGCGAUCGCCGGUUAUGUCGCUGCUCGCGGUGCUCAGUUUACCGCUCUUGACGAUCGGCGCGAUCGGCGCGAGCGACGCGUUUCCGCAUUACUCGCGCCGCCCGUUUUUACGCUCACCGCGACGCGCUGCUGCCGCUGCCGCGGUAGCGGGCCGAAUGCAAACCAGGGGCGUGAAAUACGGCGCGCGGCCGUCGACGGCCCCGGCGCCCCGCCGAACGCACACUCGGAUCGGCCAAGUAUCAACCGCCCGUUAACGAUACGCAAUAAAUAACGAACGGAGUCUGCGUGGCGAAUAUAUCCCGGGAGUCGGUUCGCGAACACUGUCGCCGCGGCUCUGCGAGAUCCGCGUCGUACGGAUACGACAGAGCGGCGAAAACCGCAGCGUUUACUCCGUGCACACGCGCGCGCACGCGCGGAUCGUUAUUAUCUUUUCCGAGUCGUAAAAUCCGACAAUGGAAAAUCGUAAAUCCGCCGAGACGCUUGCGGGCCGCCUAACGGAAAUGUUAUUGUGACCGCGUAUUACCACAUCUCGGCCCCGGUAACCGCGCGCCGGCGGCGCUCCUCCGUUGUCGAUAGUCAUUAAAAUAAGAUCCGCCGCGGAUUUCGAGGCGGACGGUGCCGGCCGUGUACGGUUUUUAUAAAAUAAUGCGUUUGGAGAGGAAAACAAUCAGAAAAACCAAAAAAAAAAAAAAAAAANNNNNNNNNNNNNNNNNNNNNNNNNNNNNNNNNNNNNNNNNNNNNNNNNNNNNNNNNNNNNNNNNNNNNNNNNNNNNNNNNNNNNNNNNNNNNNNNNNNNUUUUUUUUUUUUUUUUUUUUUUUAUAUAUCCAGUCAGUACACGGUGUUCGUGAUGAAUUUCGGAUUCGGCUCGCGUUUUGUGAUUUAAUUUUUUUACAUUAGGCUAGGUCGAACGUACGUUUUUUGUUCUUACAGUUUUUAGUUUUCUUACCAUUGUGCGCGAGAAAUAUUUUUAAUUAUUAAAUUACGCGACUCGGUGCAAAAGAGUACCACUCUGUAGUAUACUUACGUUUUAAGCAAUAAUUAAUUAUAAAAGUUAAUGUCGGUAGAGAAAUUAUUAUUAUUAUUAUUUUUUUUUUUUUAAAUUGACUGCGCAGUUUUUAAUACUGUCGUCCUACCACAAAAUAUUAUAAUUACGACGCGAUAAACUCAUAAAAUAAAUUUACAUUAUAUUAAACUUUAAUUAUUAUUUCGGGUAUUUUAUUGUUAUUACUUUUUUUUUUUUUACGAAUAUAAUUUUUUUUUUGUCAAUUUCGCCGUUUUGUUGUGAAUUGACGCGCUCGCCUAUAAACAGUCUUUCGUAGAGCGGUCACCGUGGUAUGUGCGCGUAAAAAACACACACAAAAAAAAAAAAAAAAAAAAACAUUAAAUGAACACAGAACGAGAAAGCCCCCCAAUUAUACCUGUAUCGUCACGACUGCAGAAUUUAAUACUUAUAAUAUUAUUAUUACAGAAGGUCACCGGUUAUUCGACCGGUUUGCACGAUGCAUUUAAUCUAUGGGAACGGGACGGACACGGAAAAAUAGCGAAUAACUAUAGCAGACUCAGUAAUAUUAUAAAAUACAGUGUCGAAACCCUCGGCGUCGACUCUCGGCACACAAUAAUAAUACACCACGCAACUCGCACGAUAAUAUUUUUAUAGUACGAUUUGCAUGAAUGGAGUCGGGGAGCUAUAUACGUGUUAUCUUUACAAUAACGAAUUCUGCGCUGUGAAUUUAAUUGACAAAAGCGUUUAAAAUCCCCUCUCCUCCCCCCCCCCUAAAAAAAAAACCGGGGCUCGAAAUGCGAUUUGAACGAUAAUAAAAAUUGUCCUGAAAAUCGUAAAAUCCAAAAAGAGUAGUGUAAAAUAGACAGUUUCAAAACUGAAAUUUUCGUUGUCUCGUAAUAAUUCGAGCUCGGUGUACGUCUUAUUGUCGACAACAAAUAUUAGGUUGACGCCUUAAUUAAAAAAAAAAAACAACCGCAUUAAAGAUAUAUUAUCAGCUGGCAUAUAACCUUUAAAACUUAACCAAUUGAAUUUAAAUUUUUUCCGAGGCUCUUAAACGUCACGUAGACCAAAGCCGUCCUGACAAUAUUUUUUCAAGUAUAAUUUUAAUCAUUACCCGUAUGCGUUUAAAAUGCCGACAAAAAAUUGAAUUUUAAUCAUUACUUAAAUUAUAUUAUUGUAUUGUUAUUAUUAUUAUAAUCGUCGCUAACUGAGUUGAUCGUAUUGAAGUGUUUUUUUCAUUAUUAUAUUAAAAAGUAAACCCUAACGAUAUAACUCCAUUGUUUUUCUUUCCGUGCGUAAUAUUUAUUUUAUUUUUUUUUUAUUUUUUACUUAUUGUUACCUAUUAUGACGGAUACGGUCGGGUAAUUAUUGCCGUCGUCUCGUUGCUAACCUAUUAUACAGCGUGCGUACCGCGCAUAACAGGUGUCCGUUUUUAUCGGGAGACGGACGCGGCCAUCACCUGCACAGCUGUCUAUCAGCUAAUGGCACACGCGCUACAAGACCAGACUCAUCUCUCCGCGUCUGUACGUAUAUAGAGGUACACGACGUGACAAUUAUUAUUACCGACACCGGAAUAGGAUAAUAGUAAACCCGUCUUAAACGUUUUAUUUCCAUACUCGGUACCUACGUAUACCUGCACCUGUACCCACCCGCGUAUAGCUCAUGAUUUCUGUAUUUCUCACACGCCUAAUAGCCGUGCGUUAACUAUUGAUAAUUUCCGUACCGUUAAGUCGAUUCCGGUGUUAUGCUCAUUAGAGGCAGGUCCAAUUGCAGUAAAUCGUCAUCGUCGUAAACCCAUAUUUCAAUAAUUAUAUUGUACCCGGGUGUCCGUGGAUUUCAACGCAAAGUGCAUUUUUACGUUGCGUUACAAUUUAUAGGUAUGGACAUUUUUAAUGCGUCUAUACGAUUAGAGAUAUAUUUAUGCGUGCACGCCUAUUUGAAAGUAACGAUAUUGUCUCGAAAACUUCGGUUUUCAUACAGGAGUUUAACAGGUUUUAGCUCGUAUAUUUAUAAUGUAGGUAUUUUCCGUCCGUUUGUAAUUUACAUUUUUUUUUUUUUUUUUUUUGUACGCUCUAGAAAAAUUUAUUCCGAGUGUAUGGAUUAUGGGUGCGUAAUAUAAUUCGAAUCGCGUAACAUAUGAUGUCACUUCCAGCGCCCCGCUCAGGAAUUUACAACGGGAGGGGAUUCGGUGAAUAAUACCGCCCGAGACGAUUCGUUUAAUUCAUUUUUUUCGUAUCCGACUCGAAUGAGAAUGAGAAUUCAAAAGCCGAAAGAGACAAUUUUUAUUCGAUAAAUCGUGCUUUUUCCAUUCCUAUCGACAUGGCCGUAGGCAUAAUUUCGACGGUGACGCACGGCAAAAGGGUUUUUAGCGACACGAUUCAUAGUUUUCAAGAGAGUCGAAAAACAAUUAUUUGUGAUUUUAACAUUUUUUUUUUUUUUUUUUUUCUAAAUCGGCAAUAUCUUUUUUCCGGUCGGAAUAGGGAAUUUUUUCAUUGAAUACUUGUUGUUCUUGGUUGUACGUCUCUUUAAUACGGAUACGUAUUGUUGAUUAGCUUUUCUCGUUGUUUAGACCCGAUAACCGAGAAGACGAAAAUAAAAAGUUUUUAUUGUGCCCGAUUUGAAAUUCAAAAUGUUUUUUUUUUUUUUUUUUUUAUCAAAUAACGGCCAGCGGCCACAGUUGUUUGUGCGCACGCGUAUUUCUCCACCCGACAGUGAGGCCGUGCCGCUUGGACCCUUUCGCCGUGUCACCGUCGAUACGAUUUCGAGAUGAAACCGCCGGAUCGGGGAACGCAGGGAACGUUUCUUAUCUCGACAUCCCCCCCUCCCCGGCCCACUUCUCUCGCGCACGCGCGCUUCAAACGGAUUGUUUUCGGCAGUCAAUCCCCGACGUUUUCAAACGGAGAGAGCGCGUUUUCGGGACGGUUUUCGCGGCGUUCGCGUCAUCGUAAAUUAAAUCGUUGUGGAAGAAAAAAAAAAAUUAAAUAAUAAUAAUAAUAAAUACACACGUUCAAUGUUAUUACACGUAUCCGACGGUCCGAGGGGAGGGGGAGGGGGGUACCGACGGUGCGUCGGUCCGGCGUUUAUAAACGCGCGGAACAAUGGGCGCGUAAUGUACGGUUGGAGGUCAAGAGCUCCGGCUAGCGAGCGGGCGGCGGCGCGCGCGUGAUACGACGACGACGGUUAUUGUGAAUCGUGACGUUUCCGAAAUACGUGACCGGGCCCGCAACGCAAACACGCCGGCCGCGGUCGGGCGGGCAACGUGACGACAUCAAUCCCGGACACUGUCGCCGAUCGCGCGGCAAUGCAAUCGCAUGCAAUUUAAUCGCCAACGAACCGGGCGUUUCGGUCGCGUUUGGUUGUAUUUAUUUAUUUGUUUAUUUGUUUUUUUUUUUCUUAUCCACGACAACACAGCCCAACAAUCAAAGUCGGAUUCCGCACGCCAUUGCGGUGUACCGUCCGCGCGCGCUGCGUACGUAUUCGAUAUGAUCGGGUGCACUGCAGUAGGCGCGGGCUCGUAUUUAGCGGGGGGAGUCCAGACUCCACGCGUCCCCGACCCCUCCCUCGCCGGAAUCCGACGUUUGUGUGGACACCCGAGAAAUCGGCACUUUCACUGUUUCCGCACAGUAAGGUUCCUUGCGGUUUUCAAUAAUUUUUUUUUUUUUGUUUUUCGAAUUUUAACUCGCCUCUAUUUACCCCGGCCGCCUCUGUCUGAGAUUGUUCCCGGAACAAUCCUAAAUCUUGUCCCGACUGUUCGUAUCCGUACCGAGGAAUACGAACAAUCGCGCGGUGCCACGCGUUCGCCAAUUGCAGUUUAACAGUUUUAGGCCGAUUCACGGGCCGGCGAUACGAUAUUCGGAUGAAUUUAUUUUGUAGAAGGAUCCAAUAGGCCACACGGGGCCAACCAUAAAAACGAACUCACUUCCAUAUACGUUUUUUGUGCGUUUUUUUUUUUUUUUGUUCUACAAAUAUUAUUGACGUAAAUUGUAUGUACGGAUACACUGCAGUGCCCUUUACGAGGCCCCUCCCUGGCCACUCUUUAAUCCUGGUUCGAUUCCGCGGGGUGUAUUCAUGUGGUCAUAUUGUAGACGACGGACAAUAUCGAAAUAUAUCUAAUAACAACGUGGAAGUAUAAUACGUGCAGUAAUAUAAUGUCAAAAACCAAAUAUUAAUCGGAAGUCAAAAAAAAAAAUGCGGGUCGGGCGGAUCGUAGUUCAGCUACACCAAAGUUAGUUUAGUCGGUAAAAUUAAUUUAACGUCGCCCGGGGUACACAACGAGAAAGCGAUCUAAUUAUACAAGUUCCAGAAGUAGAAUAAGGAGAAGAAAAGUUGCGUUAAAAGUUAGCUUUUCGUUUUUUUUUUUUUUUUAUAUAGUUUAUUAUUUUAGGAUCCUUCACUGAAAUCAACUUGACCUUUAACUUUUAUUUUCGUUAUAAUGCUCACACUCGGUUUGAUUUUUUUUUUAGAAUAUUUUUAGCGUUUCAAACAUAUCGUUUUUCACGCCACCACUGUUCUUGAAUACACAAUCAUUUAUAUUUACUCGUUAUAGUCGGAGAUUUGAUACCUUUCUGAGGAGCUAUAGAAUAAUUCUAAUACCCAUACACAUACAUAUAUUGAUAUUAGAUUAUUUUGUAAUAAUAAAACACUUUUAGAUAGGUAUUUAUAGGAAAAUAUUAAAAAAUUAGUUUGUUUUUUUUUUUGGGGGGGGAAUUUGGAAGAUUUUGAGUGGCUUAUCUAGCCUUAGUUCUCCGAUCUCUGGCCAUGCUAUGUUUUUUUUUUUGCUAAUAAAAACAUUUAGCGUUUAAUCCUGCACCAGAAGUAUAGUAUAGCUACGUUGAAGCGAUGGUGAUUCUCGGCAUGUGUUAUAAUAAUAAUAUUUACUAUAAGUACCUACUCAUUAUAAUAUUCAUGUAGGAAAGUUUUUUUUUGUUCAUUAAUCAUUAAAAUUUAUUUACGUUUAGUCGAAUUUCAAACGUGUUUAAUUUUAGUAGGUACUUAGUGUAUAGGUAAUUAUUUUAUUGUGAUAAAACACGAAUACAAUAUGUAAUGACGAAGCGGAGAAUACAGCUUAAUUGAAAUAUUUAAAAAAAAAAAAAAAAAUACAUUGUAAUACCAGAGAGUACUUACUGCCUAAUAUAUAUUUUUAUAAUUAAACGACGUCCGGUCAAAGUCGAACAACGUAUUGUAGAUGUACAUAUAGGUAUAUAUAGGCGCGUGUAUAGAAGCGUAGAUCUGCAUUUAAUCUCGUUUGAAUUUUAAACAUUUUCUCACAAUUGUGUUUUGGUAUUUUUAAUACAUAUUCUAUAAAAAGCGAAGAAGACCGGGGAAAACCCCCCCCCCGUGUCGGAAAAUAACAAUAUUAAAAAAAAAAAAAAAAACGUAUAAAAGUAUAAAACAAUACGAAACGGACGAAAAAAACCGCCAUCAGGUCAUUUGCUUUUAUAAUAAAAACUAAUGCGCGCAAUACUAUACAUAACCGAACCCGUAAAAUUGCACUACAUCAUACUUGUGUAUACACGGUGUUACAUAAUUAUAGAAUUUCGUUAGCUCUCGCAAAAACGUCGACUUUUAUAAUGACAUACGAAAGUCUGCGCAAUACGUGUACGGAAAUUGUGAUUACUCGGAAAAUAAACUUUUUUUUCGUAUUAAAUUUUGUUUUCAAAGAAAUUUUUUCGAAUGUUCUUUGAAAAUCGAAACGAAAAAAGAAAAACAAGUUUUUCUUAUUAUUUAUCGUUAGUGUAUAAUACAUUGUAAAAUCGAUAAGGGCGCACUUACCAAAUAAAUGAAAAUGUUUGCUGCGGUUUUUAUUGGUAACCUAUAGGCAGGCAGUAUUUCAAACAAGCCACUGUACACUGUAUACAAUUAUAGAAUAAUCACGAUAAUUUUGAACAGUAAAUAAUACAGGUUGAACAAUUUAUCAACGAUUUUCUCGGAGGAUUCCACGUGAAUUUGAUUUCUAUUCUUUCAUUUCAUCUGUUAUGGAACCGUUUAAGCUUUAUUUCAAGUUUAACGCUAUUUUCAAUUAUUUAUCCCGAAUGACCGGCACCUUAAAUUAGUAUACACUUUCGAUUUUCAAAUUUGAGAUUUCCCCUACCGUUUUUGAACACGUAUUCGAAUAGAGACCGUUUUUUCUAUACUAUUUGAUAUGCAUAACAUUAAUAUCUGUAUGAGUUUUAACAGUUUAAAGUUCAGACCGGAGGAUGAAGUGUAUGGGUUGUAGAUUUGUCAUCUAAAAAUGAAAACGGAGUAUCGAUUAUUGGAUUAUCGAUACGAAGUCAAUGUCAUCACGACGAUUGCUUUCAGAGGUUUUGUUAACUGUAAUUUUAUAUUCCUAAUUGUUUGUUUUCGAACAAGUUUUCAACUGAAUAGACUUGCUCCAAUCGUUUACAUCAAGGGUGGUUUUUGGUAGCGAAUUAGGAAAAACAGCAGUAAUAUUUACGCAAUGUCGGUUUUAGUUAAUUUUUUUUUUGAAAUUUAGUUAAAAAAUGAUCGUAGAGACUAGUCGAUUUUACUGAACACUUAUAUUGUCAUUAAGCAGUGCAAUUUACCGGGUCGUUAAAAAUAAUUUAUCGCUUUUUGAAACGUUCGUAUGUAUUCGGUUUCACGUGAACAACACGUUUUUGGCUAUACAAAUACGUUUGGAAAUUCGAUACUACUCUUAGAUAGCCGUUUGCCGACAGGUGCGUAGGAGGUACACGGACCCGGAAAACGAACAAUUAACGUUUUUUUGUUUUCACAAAGCUCCCGCGACGCUGUUCCAAAUAAUUUCUCCGCAAAGGCGCGUGUAGUUGGACAAAAAAAAGCAAAAAAAACAAAAAAAAAAAAAAACGGGCGUUUGUAGAUAUUAACGCGUAGUCGCCGCCGCCCGGAGGUCGACCAAUUAUCGUUAUUGAAACACGGCCGUGCGCCCGUCGCCGCCCGUUUACCGGAUUCGCAUUAUCGUUUAUUUGUCGCGGUGUCGUAACGCGGAACACGCGGGACGCGAGGGAAUUCACCGUGCGCGUACGGGUCCGCAUUUCUCCGCCGGUCCCGUCCGCGGCGCUCGUUGUCGGUUCGCAUUGUACAGAUUAUUACAACGGUCGGCCGGUGACCGCGGCUAUCCCCUCGUUCGCGUCGCGCGACGGUGCCCUUCGCCCCGUGGAAAAAUCGAAAAAAAAAUCGCCCAAACGUCAUUUUUAUCGCCGCCAUUGUCCGUCCACGCGCGUACGCUUCGCGCCGAUAUCGAAUCAAGCCCGUUUACAAAUAAUCCCGACAAUCAUACACCGCGCGCGCGUAUACACGUCACAAUGAUAUUAUUGAUGCGCACAGCGCACACGCUGUAUGCGACGCUGACGUCCGUUGUGCUCGCGUCCGUCGCUGUACAACACCGCCGACGUGUUACUGUCGUCGGGGGGUUCGGAUUCUCCAACACGCCGUGAUAACAAAAUUCGAUUGGGGUUUUCUUUUAUAGAAGUGGGUGGCGGUCGGGGGACUAUGUCGUCCGUGUCUUCGGUCCCGGGGAGCAAGGGCUUCCGACCGGCCGCGCACGCGGUUCGGGCAUAACGAGAGCGGAUUGGAUGUCGAAAACCGCCAAGCGAAACAACAGCGCGAUAAUUGCAAAACGUUUAAAGUGUUAAUUGUACGGCCGUUAUGAUAAUGGCUCAAGUCGUGUACAAUUACGUUGUUUACGUCUUUUUCGCCAAACAAAAAGUGCACCUCACUACAAACGAAAUGCCAAAAAGGUUCUUCUUCUCCGUGUCUGAAGACACGCUGAUGCGCUUUCCGAGCUACGAAUUCGUGUAAUACGCAUACAAGUGGAAUACGCUAUAUAAUACACUCGAAGGGCGUACAUUUUUUCUUUUCGAUGAAAAUCCCGUGUUUAUGAGGUUAAUGAGGUAAUUUUUUUCCAUUUCCUCGGUUAGGUCAGGUCGGGUUAGUUUGGGUUAGGUAAGGUCAUUUUUAGUUUGUUUUUUUUGUUUUGUAUUUUAAACAUUAAAAUCCGUACUCUGAUUACCAUUGUUGUAUACUGUCACGAGGAUCGGGGGAUUAUAUUAAUGUAAACGAUAUUGAAUGCAUCAUUUUUUUUUUUUUUUUUUUUUGUUGGAUUAUUCGAAACACCGCAACGACGGUAAUACUAAUGUAUCGAUAAAAAGUACAUAGGAAUUAACGGAGCCGCCGAAGUCUUGACCUCUCCCGCGGUCGAUAUAAAAAUAAUGUGUAUAACUAUAAUACACACACACACACACACACACACACACACACACACACACACACACACACACACAUAUAUAUAAUGAUAAUAAUAAUAAUAAAAUAUUACGUAUAUUAAAAAAAUAAAAACGGGUUGUCGACCUCUCUUGUGUUUGCGUUUGCGUUUGCGCGCGCGCGCGUGUUUGUUGUCCGUAUCUGUAGCGGCGGCGGCGGCGGGCAGUGAGCAAGUUUAGUAUAAUAAUAUUGUUGAGAAGACCGAGACACUGCUACAAUUGCUGCUACUCAACUGCGACACAGAUAGUCGGAAUGAGAAAAAAAAAAAAAAAAUUCACGCUUUAUAUAAAUACCCCGUGCAGCAGUAGCACCAGCUAUACAUUUAUAAUAGCGUUUGCCAUAGUAUGUAAUAUAAUAUAUCAGACCGCCUAGUUUAUACAAUUAUCAUUUACGCCCGCGAAGGGCAGUGUUUUGAUUAUCCAAUUAGUUUUUAUAAUAAUCUCCGGUGAACAACGGGAAAUAAUUUUAGUCUUAGGCGGGUAUUUAUGUAUAUAAAACCAUGCAAUUUGAGCAUACGAACGGUUGGGGUGGGGGUUUGAUGUUUAAACCUACCAAAAGACACGUCCUGGAUAUUUACACGGUGCAAACGCGAAAUGUUUUCCCCCGAAUCCAUUCUCGGGGGUCUGUAUAGGGAUGCGAAACGUUAAAAAACACCAUUUUCCCGCGAAAACACGCGGUAAAAUUCAACCGUUCAACCGAAACGUUAUCACUACAAUCCGUUUAUAAAACAACUCUGUAUAUCGAGUUUGAGUUAGUUUGGCUCCAGAGGGAACCGCUAAACGUAUCUAAAAGUAACGAUAGAAUGAUUGAUAUAAACGAGGAUAUAAAAGGAUUGGUAACCCUGGCUUCUAUAAUUUCUUUCGAGUACAUCUAUUCUAGUAAAAAGUUUAUUUUUCUAAAUUAUGUUUUUCGUGUUGGGCGAAUUUGUAAUGAACCCGAAAGAAGAGAAACUUGUUGCCACCCGGCGGCGCAUCUGCAGUUUUUCAACUAAAACAUUUUUCCGGCAUACACCAUUAAAUUUUGUAUCUCUCUGAAACUAAAAAAAAAAAAAAUCAAACCGAAGAAGUUUAUUGAGAACCUAUACAAAUAUAAUAUGUGCCAAGAAGAAGUCAUAGCGGUUGCACGUGAUACCAAUCCUACUGAUUAUCAACGCUCGGUAUCCGAGUUGUAUUAUCAGCAUCGAUACUUUUUGAUUAGCCCUCGUACGUAUUGUACAGUAUUGUUUGUAAGUAACAAAGAUAUAAUACAGUGCAGUUAUCACUAUGUCCAAGACGAAAAAAGAUCGAGACGAACAAAUAUCGCGCGGCGUUUUUAACGGUAUACAGUUAUAUACGGCGGCGGUGCAGUGUUUCGCUAUAGAAAUAAACGGUGUAACGGACGACUCCGGAUUCGUGUGUAACGUUAUGAAAGAUGAUCGCGGCGGAUAUUGGUAAAUUACCUCGUUCCCCCCACCCCCUCCUCCCUACGACAACGGGUUUUCCCCUACCGCGGAAAAACUUCCCGUUGUCCGGAUUGCGGUUACCGCUCUUUGUAUUGUUACCAUUUGAUAUCCGACGCGUACCGUAUCCGCGCGCGGCGUGCAUGCGUUUUUAAACUGCAGACGUACCGCCGCCGCGGUCCUUAACGCAACGACCGUGUCGAAAUUCCGCCGCAUUUAUCCGUGGACGGUUUAAAUACAACGGUUACGCUACUGCCGCCGCCGUGAAAUGUUAUUAUCAUUACGUAUACGAACGGUUUUAAUAAUAAUAAUAAUAAUAAUGCAUUUCAAUGCUCGGUCAAAAAUAUUGGAAAAAUCGAAUUUUAUCCGCGCGCGUUUGUACUCGUCAAAAGGGCUCGGGAAAAACCCGAAGACUUGCGGAGACUUGCCGCGUGUUGACUCUGGACCACCGGGAACAGAGAACAUCAUGGCCCAAUGAUGAACCGGUGAAUUAUUGUUCUGAUGACCGUCAAUAAUUAAAGAAAUUACGAAAAAGAUUGCUUGGAGAAAGGGCGUUUCGUUGGAAAAACUAAGUAAUCGGGGGAACUACGAUCGGGAAAAGGAGUUACUUAGGAAUAUCACGAAUAACAGACAUCAGAAUUGUGGAACCGUCAGAAAUACAAUGGUGGAAAGUAGCUUGGUAGAGAAAAAUUUAACGGUGGAUUUGUUUUGGGAGGAUCUGGUAUAAAGGGCCGAAACCCAAUAAGAAGAAAACGGUAAAUCUUUCAUCAAUAACAACAGUUUUGAUGCAGUGAUAAGAGUUGGUGAAAUUUGGAAAACGACACGUUUAAAACACGCUUGGGAUUCAAAAAAAACACGAAACUUUUUUAAAAUUGAAAGACAAUAUUGUCUGGAACAAAAAAAAAAAAAAAAAAAAUUAGAAAAAUGUCCAUUAGAUAUAUUUUAAAAGCGAAAAAACAAAGUGUAUUAUAAAUAUUCGUCGUCAUUGCUUUUAUAUGCCUGAAUAAUUUAUUAUAUCCACUUAUUUAAAUGCGUAUAAUAUAAUAAUGUAUGGCAUUUUAUUUUUAUUUAUUUUACUUUUAAGACUCCAAAUACUUUGUCCUAAAAUAUUUUAGUGGGCUUAUAUAUACUUACAAUAAAUAUUAACUUUUUGACGUUUCUCUGCAGGUGUAAUAGGUUUUCUGUCUUAAGCGUAAAAACGGUGUACUUUUCGUUUAAACACCUUUUCCCUUACUUGCAUGGGCAUUUCCCUCGUCGUAAAUUAAGAUGAAUAAUAACGCAGGCAACUUUUUCAAUUUACAGUUUGGAAAAUAGCAAUAUUGAUAUUAAUACUGUUAUUAAACUACGUGAAAUACGUCAUCGGUUAAAUUAAUAUCAAAUCACGUGCAACAAUGGUAAAACAGUUAUUUUGGAAAUUAAAAGUCGUGAUAUAAUAAUGAUAUUAUAUGAAUUUCUUUCCCGAUUGGCUUUGCGUUAUAACAUUAUUCAAUAGUUUUAGGCAAAAUGAAAUAAUGAAAAAUAAAGUGAAUGCCGUUCCAAAAAACGUUUAAACGUUAGGUUAGUCGGUGGCUUGCACGGGGGAAACGUUAGGUAUUCCAUCCUGCCGGUACAAUAAUUAACGUUAGGAUAUCCUAACUGCAUACCUUUCCACCGUUCGCUUAAAAAUACAACAAUUAUGAGUAUUUAUUUCGUAAUUUUAUUUUGGAACUAGCCGUCCCGUCCGCCGUUGCCCGUGACAAUUUUUUAUUAUUUGUUUUAUCCAUAUUACAUUUUGGUAUUGACCGUGUCGGUAGGUACUGGAUGAAAACGAAUAGGUGGAAAAUGGGUAGUCCACCUUUGGCGGACUAAAAGUGUUCUGUUGUGACGUCAUUUCAUGAUAUUCAUACCAAAAGUAUCUAAACACCGAAUCUUGGGGGAGGGGAGGAGAUUUCAAAGGAAAUGAAGCCUAACCUAACGUAUUGGGGAGCAGGGACACUCGACGGUGGGAGAGCGCGUGUACUGUAUUAUAUACUCGUCACUUGCAGAUGACACGGCGUUCCUUUUAUACCAUUAUGUACGUAUUUGCUGACAAUGUAUACUAAUACAAAAUUAAUAACUCGAUUGUUAAUCUAAAUGUAUUAUGUACACAAAUUAAUCGAAAUUUUGCCGGUGACGCACUGACGCAAUAGCCCGAAUACCAUCCGAAUUUCCAACUUUUCCGAUAGAUUUACCAAACAUUUUUUUUCAUACAAACCUCUUUUUUUAUUUAUCGACAAUUUGCUUUCGUUAUAAAAAAAAAAAAAAAAAUGUGACAGCAGAAUUGAACAUCGAUUAUCGGACUAUUUUUGUUGAUUUACGGGUUACCUUGGCGAUACGAAUGAAACUCAAAAAAAAAAUAAAAUAAGUAUUGCGAUUUUUAUACAAAAACCCCAUCCGAAUUCGCGAUUAUUCCGUAGAUUUUCUAAACGAUUUCUUUCAUAAAAACCUAGUCUUGACAAUCACGAAUAUGACGACAAGAAAAAAAAAAAAAAAAUUCACCAAAAUCGGUCGAGCCGUUCUCGCGUGAUGCGACGAACAAGCGAAUUAGGGUUUCACUGUUAUAUAUAUACAUAUUGAUUAUACAUUUUAAGUUCGAGUGUUGCUAUUAUUGCGUUCUGUGAUUGGAAUUGAUAUAAUGUUCGACUCUAUUUUUUUUUUUUUUUCUUUUUUAUAUUUACGGCAGUGCGGGUAAAUGGUUUCGAACUAUGUUACAAUACAUACUAUAUAGGUUUUAUAUUUUAUCGUCAAUAAUAAUAUAUUAUUAUGAUAGGUUACACUGAUAAAAUCGAUGCCAAAAUAAAUUUGCGUAUUUUAAUUUUUCAAUUUUUUAUUCUAUGUAAAUAAAGCUGAUAACUAAUAAUAAUUUAUCGAUUAUAAUAAUAUAAAUGGCUGCUUUUUUUUUUCAUUUUAAGUACCAAAUGCAUAUCUAUAACUAUAACCCAUUAUUUUUUGAUAUGUGGUUAUUAUACUUGCGCAUGUAGUUUUUUUUUUUUUUUUAUAUAAUAUACUUACCCGUAUUAUGCAUAAAACAUUUAAUGCGCUAAAUUAAUAUUCAAUUAUUAAAGUUAUAAUGUAUUUGAAUAAGUGUAUACUUACUAUCUUUAGAAUAUAAACAUAUCACAAUAAAUUAUGUAUUCCUGGUUGCUUUCCGAAUGUAAAAAAAAAAAUCCAAACUGUAAGAAUAUAAAAUAUUUGAAAAAUCUUGUUGAACGGUUAAGUUCUUGAUGUACUCGUAUCUACUGUUUCUUUUUAAAUCGCCGACAAAAAUACUUAAAAAGUUCGUUCAUCAGUUAAAUUACUCGCCUUUCCCUGUCCCGGGGAAGAAGGGCUUAAAUCAAUGUUUUGCAUUCGUUUCUAUAAUUUUGUUUUAUGCAAUUUUUUCCCAUCAAUUUUUGGUCAAAAUGACAUGCAUAAGUAUAUUCGACUUUUUAAUACUCAAGCAAUUAAUACAACAGUUUUGUAUCCACUUUUUUUUUUUUUUUAUUUGUUAACUCAGCACCCUCAAUACUUUCCUGUGCUAAACUUCUUAUAUUCGCCGAAGAUAUGAAACUCUUCCUCAAAAUAAAUUCAGUUUCUGAGCGCUGUAUUGGAAAUGUAUUGGUUUUACUACCUAUUAUAAGGGUUUCUUUUUAUAUUUUUAUAUUUUCUAUGUGUUACUUAUAUUUUUACAAAUAAUCUCGCUCUAAUUAAAAAAUUACAUCAACGCUUUUGUAGCAUUUUCGAUCUAAUUGGUCUACAUUGAGAGGUUAUUUUCAAACGGUUUUUAUAACAAUCGGGUAAACCCGGAAAACAAAUCAUUGGAAAAACGGACACAUUUACGACGGUAAAAGUUACAUUAUUAUUUCGAUUUUUUCGAUUUUGUUUCCCUACUAAAAAUUUGUUUUUACGCGAGGUUCGCCAUAAGUGGUAAAGAAAAAACAUUGAACGUACCUACCGCAGUAUUUUUUGUUUGUUUUUUUAAGCAUUUUAAGUUUGAACGAUUUAUUUUUUAUGUAAUAUUUUUAUUACCUAUAUAAUAUUUAUACAUUACUAUAUGAUAUUACAAUAACUUAAAAUACUGUUUUGAAAGUCACAUUUUAUGUAAAGGCGCUUCUACGGGUUUUUUUUAAACGUUUUUUUUUUCACUCUCGAGAACCAUCAUUUAUAAAAUAGAAUAAUAAUAAAAAAGAGAAAAGUUCAGUUCUAAAAACCUUCUAUGAAAAUCCUUUAUAUCAAAGUAAAAAAAAAAAAAAAAAGAACUAUUUUCGAAAAAGUCGCUACUUAUACUAUAAUAUCAAAAAUAAUAUAUACGAUGUCUUAUGUCUUAGGUUGGAACGAAGUUAAAAAUACAGUUUUCAAUUACAGAAUAUUGCAUUUUGAAUAUUAUUACGAGUACCUUUAUCUAUCCUUUAGCUAUUGAUCUUAUGGAUUAGAAAAAUAAUAAUAAUAACAUAAGAUAUCGCGUAGUAAAAAAUAAUACGUCGAUUGGUUUGAUUUAUAUAUUUUUAUUCGAUAAAUUAUGGAUUAAAUUCAUAUUUAUUGUUUUCGGUUUAACUCGAUCAUAUUAUUUAAAAAAAAUUAAUUAUUGUAAUGACCGCAAGUCGGGUGGAAAUUUGAUUCUAGUGACAGAGCUCGGCUAUUUACGGAAGUCUUUUUCCUUUACUAUAAUAUAGUAAAAUAAAUUAAAUAUUUUACCAAUUUUUCUUAAUAAAUAAAUAAAUUACGAUUAAAAAAGAUUUAUUUAGAUGAUUUAAUUGAUAAGAUGAAUAUGAUAAUACCUAUCAAACUUGUUGAUUUAGUACCAUUUAUGUGGUACAUCAUAUAAACCACCAUAAUAUUAUGCCGUGAUUUUAAUAUUGUUAGAGGUUACCUAUUAUAUAAUAUUGUAAAAAUUAGACUUAAUCAUAUCGAAGUGGUUAAUAUUUUGGCGAUUAUUUAUGUACUGCGUAAUUAAAUGUUUUACUUUUUUCUAUACUUUUUAUGAUUAUUUUUUCUCUCCAGCCAAAUUUUCCGUAUUUUCCGAUAAUUCUCAUUUUUUAAAGGACUUAUCGUAUGAAAAUAGAACCGUAAUAUUUAUUACAAUAUUUCGUGUUUGGAUAUAAAAAAACGCGGAAUGACUUGAUAAUCAUUUUUUUUUCUCAGUAUCUAUUCGACAAAACUUUAAACGCUAAUAAAUUAUUACAAACCAUUCAGUAUUUAUAUUGACGUUCUCAGAAAACGUGUACGAGUCCGAGUCAUUAUUUAACGAAAACGUUUUAUUUGUUUUUUUUUCAUUAUUCCAAGUAUAGGUCAUCUUCAAACCUUGUUAGUUACUCCCUCCAACGGCUCUAACCCAGCCAUUUCAUAUCUAUGUAGUUUUUGUUUUGCGGUUUUUAUUACAUUUUCUUUGACCGACAAACAAUCGUACAAUUUAAAGUCAAUAGGUAUUUAUCGUCUUCAUCAUUUUGUUUCGCUCUGCGGCUAAGAGCCAUAUCGCUUAUCAUAAAACCUCUUCACGAUUCUCAAUAUCGAAUUUAUUACAUUCUGCCCGACUCGUCGUUACCUGUAACCGAUCCACGUCUUUUUUUUUUUUUGUUUUAUCGUUCCAUCGCUUCUUAGUUCUGCCGGUCUCUUCCCAGUUGGAUUCCUGCAGCAUAUCGCUGAGUUUAUUCAUUCUGCGAACUCACAUUUCACAUUUUACGACCAUAUCGUUUAAUUGUUUUUGAUACUUUUUGUAAGAAAUCCGUAAUACAUGGCGACCUUUCGGUUCUUUCCGCAGUUCUUAUUUUAUCCCGCAUUGUUUUCCCGUACUCGUUUCUUUCCGUACCUGUAUUAAAAAAAAAAAAAAAAAAUAGGUAAUAGGUCCCACGUACAUUAUUUGGACCAUUGUCGGUUCAUAUAAAUAUCGAAUUUUUUUUUCAGACUCAAAACAUUAGAAACAGCGACCCGGCUAAUCGAACGCUGCGGGAUUUGCAUUGCUCGAGACGCGUGUACAUAUUUAUUAUUUUCGGAGACGACAAUCUUUUUUAGAAAUCAGAGUCGAGACGGUCGUUAAAAUUCCACGAUAAUAGUAAUAAUGUAAUAUGAUACACAGAGUUUUGUGAUGCUGGUAGCGUUAUUGGUAAUAAUAACGAUGAUGAUGAUGAUGAUAAUAAUAAUAAUAAUAAUAAUAAUAAUAAUACUAUUAAUAACAAUAAUGAAAUAUGCUAAACCGUCGUCGUCGUCGUCGUCGAAACGGUACAUUAUUGUUGUUUGUAUUACAAAAAUCGCCGACAAUAUCGUCGGGACGAUACGCGCUACGGGAUAAAUAUUUAAUAUUUUUUAUCACACGCUCUAGUUGCGCCGAAAUAAUAUUGUGCCGCCGCCCGCGGAGAGCCGAUUCUCUCUCCUUUUCGUUUUCGAGGAACCAAUUCGUCCCGUCAUACGGUUCGUUAUUGUACACUGCCAGCAACUACGCGGCGGUAUACGAUGUCCGUGCCGGUAUAACGAGCCGAAUAGCAUAAGACCGAGUAUAACGAGCCGUCAGAAAAGGGUUGUAGUCUCGUAAACGUCACGAUUCAUCAUCGGUUUUUUUUUUUGUUGUUGUUGUUGUAGUGGUGGUUUUAACUAUUUUUUUUUUUUUUUUUUUUUUUUUUUUUGUUAUACCAAUGGAAAAACAAACAAAUAAUACUACCGAGUAAUCUGUACGCGUACAUACGCCAGUACCCGUCAUAGGUAUCGAACAAGCCGGUCGCGGCUUUCCGAUGACACCGCCUUCCGACGUUUAACUUGACGGUGAAUCUGUCGGAAGAUUGUUGCGGAUGCGAACAUAACAUUUAGAUUCCUUCGGCAACGAAACACGAUCGCACACAAUUUUCCCGUGUUGUCGAAUACGAUAAGCACCUUAUAUUCGAGUUACAUAUAAAUCUCAAGACGGAAAUAAAAACGGACACACUUCGUACGUGGAUGAACCCCCGUUAUAAGUGACAAGUUGGAAAAGUAGAGGGGACAUUGAAUGUACGUUACAAUGAUCAACUAUUGCAUACGAAAAACGUUUCUGAGAGGAAUCCGGUUAAUAAUGUUGCUUUGUCAACGAUAUAUAUAUAUAUAUAUAUAUAUUAUAUAUUUGCAUCAUAUAUUUUCUUUAAUAAUAUUUGUUUAAUAUUGUACUUAUUUUCCCGUUUUCCUACGUUAUUUCCCCGUUUUUCCCAUUUAUCGUGAAAGCAGCUGGGAAAAUUUAAAGUUUGCCUUCAUAAAGUAUCACUCCAGGAAAAUUCCAUUUCAGAAACGGAGCUACAUUUGAUAUUCCGGAGCAAGAUUCCUGGUAAAAUUUUCGUACACAGUAUAAAAAUAAUAAACUUAGUUGUAAAACCAAUAAAUUCCUCGUUCCACUCAGAAUGUAAAAAAAACCCAAAUUAAUAUGAAAUGUCAAUUAGAAAAUCGAUAACAUAAACGUUGAAUUCAAUAGGAGUUUAGUUGAUAACGCUUCAUUUUGGAACAAGAUUAAUAAAAUAAAUAAUCAGUUUAGUUUUGGAUUAAAUUAUUUUUUAUUACUAUGAAAAACUGCUUGAUAAAUGAAAAAAAAUGGCUUCUACAAUGCAUCAACUAAAUACAAAAUGCUACAAACUAAUUGUUUUUUGUUUGGAGCAAGAUUUCUGGUUGUUCACAGAUUAAAAAGCACUCAUAAUAGUUAAAACAAUACUUUUCUCACCGUGCUCAGAAUCUAAAAUAGGCGAAAUAUAAUCUGAUUGUUUUUUUUUUUUUUAUAUCGAUUUAUAUGUUUAUAUACCUACAUUAUUAAUUACGCCGUUACACAUUUACAAAAGUAAAGUUUUAUGCGUAUUUUUAAUAACCAUAAUAAAAUGGCAAUGUAUACAAAUUUCAAAAGAAAAUUACAGUUUUAGUUCUCACCUCUGUACACUACCUAACCCGUCUAUGUAUAUUCUCAGUAUAAGUAUAAUGUACCUAUACUGAGAAUGCAUAUGUACCUGGUACAUAUUUGCAUCGUGCUCGUAAAAGCUCCUUAUGCGAUAUUAUAUAAUAUAUGAUAUAUAUACAAAAAAAAAAAAAAAAAAAAAAAAAAAAAAAAAAAAAAACGUAAAAGAAAUUUGACUACAUAAAGCGUUAUAAGUAAUAUGAUAAGAAGAAACGAAAUCGUGUUGAGAUAAAAAAUUGUUUGAUGUUAAAAAGUCAUUUUUAUGCCCAUCGAGCGCGCGCUCGAAAAUACACCCUCGAAAUUGUUUUUGGGUUCAACGUACCUGUCCCCUACAGAAUAUUAUGAAUCUAGAUCGUGAUCCCUAAGAAAACGCGGUAUAUGGAAUAUUUUGUAUAUCGUAUGCAAGCAAAUAUAAAGGUAUACUGUGAUAAAACUGGCAUAUUAUCCAUUUAUGUUCAUUAUAUGUGCUCGGGUAAUUUAAUUUUGUCGAGACUCGGAAAGAAAAAAUCAAUCAUAUAUGUACAACUUUUUUGUUGGGAGGAGAGGAGGGUACACAAGGAUCAGACUGCAGCGUUAUUAUCACAUUUUCGCUUUUGAAAACAAUUGUUUUUUCACAUUUUUAGCGAUGCCGUCGAAUAGAGAAUUUGAUUCAUUCAAUCGUGAUAUUUUAAUAGGUAUAAUAUUACUAUGUCGAUAAAUUCGCUGUAAACGUCGCGUUAUGAAAUUGCACUUGCAUUAUAUUUUAUUCGCUUACUCUCGUCAAAAAUAAUAGAAAAUGACUAGGACCUCUUUAAAAAAAAAAAACAAUAGACAUCUUUAUCCGCCCAGUUUAAUCCCUUUUCACUUAAUUACCUUUAUUUAAGUAGGUACUAUGCACGCUAAUAGUUCUUAAUUAGUCGUUCUAAUUAUAUAAUUUAAUUAACAACUCAACUGCAGCACUCGAAUAAUAAUAUCGACGAUAAGCGUAAUUGCACAAAAGGAUUUACGCAAUGUUGUUUUCGUGAAAACACGCUGUAGGGUACACGCUUAUUUAUGAAUUUGAGCAACAAAUAUUGUGAUUUUAUGAGCACAAAACAAAUCAGAUUCGACCGUUCAAAAUACCGAUCGCUUCGUUUGCGAAAAUCUGCUUUGCAAGGUUCUCUUAUUUAUAAUAUGUUCACAGAUCCGGAAAUUAACAGAAAUAACUUAUUACCCAAUUUUUUUUUUUUUUUUUUAAUUUAUGUUUGUUUUUAUAUACCAAAGUGUUAAAAACUAUUUCACAAAUCCGAUUUAAUUUAACAAUUCUUUUACUAUCGAAUCGAGACUUGUACGCCAGGUCUUAAGGUACGUAUAGUACCUGUAAAUGGCGAUGUCGGCAUCUCUAAUAUCUUAUAAAAAAAAAAAAAAAAACAAAAAACUGCAUUAAACACGGUCACGAUAAUUAUCUGUACGUUUUUCAAACCGCAUACCUAACACACUUUUUAAUUUUAAGGUAUACGCGCGUAUUUGUGUUAUUUUUAUAGGGUUUACGCUAAUUCAUCAAAUGGUAAGUAGGUAUAUGCCGUGCACACGCGUAAACCUUCCGAAAUACCACUGGACUUACGGGUAUCUACUUAGUUUAUUGUGUUGUACCUGCACUAUCCAUCUACAUUAUAGUAUAGAACUUAACGUUUUUGUCCAAAACGAUCUUCAAUUUUCAACAACAACAAUUUAUUUAUAAUGUAUCUUCUUCUUUUGUCUAGCGUCGCAGCUCUGUAAGAUAAAAAAUAUAUAGAGCGCGCGUAUUUUGCAUAUAAAUUUUUAAUAUACGUGAUGUAACGCGAAGUUUUAACACCUGAAACAACUUUGUUCUGUUCAUAAUAAUUUAAUGUAAUCAUUUCUAGAGCCUCGCGCUAUAUGAUUUAUCUAUUUUUUUUUUUUUUUUUUUACAAAAUUAUUUUUCACGUACCAAUUAAUGAAUCGAUUGAUGUUAUUUAUAAUAGUAGUGGCACGAAAACAAUUUAAAUUAUCGAAAGUUUCAAAAAAAAAAAAAAAAAAAAAAUUAUAGACAAUUUACGAUUCAAUAAUUAGUAAAUAUUUGUUUCAAAAUCUCAUAUAAUAAAAUGGCUAUUUUGGUUAUUUUAUAAAAUUAACUUAAUUAAUUAAUUAAUUAAAAUUAAUCAGUUUCAAUAAGUAAUUAUAAUUAUUAGGUAACCAGUAUAGAACUGUUAAAAGAAAAAUAACAAUGUAAAAAUAUUGAACAAAACAAAAGUUAUUUCAUGCGUCAGUUUUUCGUGGUGUUUUAAUAUUAAAAACCAAUAAAAUAGUAAAUUUUCCAUUAUUAUGCAUUGUUGUAUUCGUUAAAUUUAACACGGAAUAAAAACCGUGAGAACUUCCGUAGCAGUGAUUUCUAUUAAGAUGCAAAUUUUAUACAAUAUUAUAUUAUUUCACAUAAUUUUAAUAGUAUAAUACGAAAAUUAAUUUUCUUUCGCAAACGUUAUUAAUUAAUUAAUUAACUAUGAAUUCAUAAAUUAUAAUACUACUCUCACUGCGCGCGAUUUUUCGCACGAAUAUUUUAUUUUAACAAGCCAACUGCGAUAUUCAUAUAUUAAACGGAUAAAAGAAAAAAAAAAAUGGAUUUAAAGAAUAAUUUAUCCGACGAAUGUUUUUUUUUUUUUAUAUUUAAUUGCGAAUUUCGUAUUAGUUAUACUAUAAACUCGAUAUUAUUAUUUUCUGGAAUUUAAUACUUUCUGUUUUUUUUUCGCUGGCAUCACAAUAGCACUCCGCUUUACUCUUUAUUCUGAACUAAUCAGAUAUAUUCUUUCCGUUUUUCUACUUCCAUUCUACCGAGAUCCUUCAUUUACAACAUCCAUCCGUAUUAUCCUAGGCUGAUGGCUAAACUUAUGACCGUUACCGUUUAUUCUUGUGUCUCUUUGCGAAACUUUCUUCUCCACACCAUUUUCAUAUUAUCAUCAUUUUGUUGAGGCCUACCAAUACUCUAUUUUCGAACGGUUUUUCAGCAUUAUUUAUUCAGUAAGACACUAAACUGUGUCACUUAUUAUCACGGCCAUAUGAAAUUACCGUGUUUGGUUUUCUACGAGAAGAAUUUUUACACAAGGAAUUCACUUGUUAACAAUAUCAACGUUAUUUAAGCAUUAUAUAUUUUGUGUGUUUUAAAUGUUUAUUUCAUAAAAGAAACGACUCCGGAGUGCACCGGCAUUUAUAUAAUUUACGGAUUUUUUACUCUCUGUGUACCGCUGUUGGAAAUAUUUUAAUAGAAGCGAAUAAUAUAUGUAUAUAUAUGGUAAACGAUACACAGUAUGCAACGCGAUUCACAAAACGAAUUAUAUUACAAUAUUUAUCUUUGUAAAAUACUCAUAUUUCGUCGGCCUUAAUUCGAGACGAGACGAUGAAAGAGAAAAUAAAUAUCUAUUUGCCGAAAGCCAUCAUCAACGCGCAAUCGUCUGUCUUGUGCACAAACUCGGUUCCUUAAUUUUACAAUAUAAUAUUAUCGUCAAAAGAUACAUAAAUUUUAUGUUUAUCCGAUUAAAUAUUUAAAAGCUCGACGGACGAUAUUUCGCUCGUCACGGAUAAUAAUUCCAGUCACGGAUUAUAGUGUCUGCAGUUUCGUAUUUUCACAAUACAAUUUAUCAUCGCUUUUUUUCCCUCGCGAAGACUCCGGGGAACCACACGGUUCCCUAAAGAAAAUAAGUAUUACGUUAUAUUAUUUUGUAGUGGCAUCAGAAACAUGAUAUUUCGUUAAUUCUUCAUUUAUUUUGUUAUAUCUGCAGAGAGCGCGUGGUUUUUUUUUUGUCAGAAUAAUAACAAUAUGUUCUUUUUUGUUCGUAUUAUUUUUAUACUGUAUACACAGCAGCAGCUUAUCCAUCACGCGCGCGUAAAACUUUGGGUUAUUUCGGCGCGUAAAUCGUAUUUAUGGCCAAAUGUUUUGGACAACGUCCCGCGGGUUAAGUUUGUAAAGCCCCGUCCCGCGUCGCCCCGCUAGCUACGCUGCAGCAGGCAUCGUGUCGUUUCAUCGCAGCACGAUUCCCCGGGGGAAACGAUAUCCCGAAAUUCCAAUUCUGGUCGACCAACCGAACAUACAGCGGGAAAUUGCGGCGAUGGGUUACAUAUUAUACGGCUACGGCAUAAAAAUCUAACGUUUAAUCGAAGCCUUUUUGAAAAGAAAAAAAAAAAAAUAACACCCGUGAGCAAUAGAGCUCCGCCACUGGAAUCGAAUUUCUCCCCUCACCUAUUUUGUAUUAUAGAAAUAUUCCUCGUGAAACAAUAAAUAACCGAAUGCUAUAUAAAAAUAAUACAGAACCUACUAUACUAUACAACUACAACAAUACUACUUCCGAUUUUUUUUUUUUUUUAAAUUCGAGUAUAAAAAUGGUAAAACGGCUCCACCGCUACCACAUUCGUGGACGAUUAAUCAGCUAUUUACGUGCUGUCAUUUGAGAACUAAAUUUUAAAACUCAUUUGAGGUCCAAGGGACAGUGGUAAACAGUGUUAAAACAAAUCUCGAACAAUAUAAUUUCAUGUUGAUUGAAAUCAACAGAAAUCAAAUUUGCUUAAAAUCCACCGAGACAAUUGCCGGAUCACUAUACGAAUUCGUCCGUAUAGUAGGAAAUCGAAUGAAUACAUUUUGCGGCCAACACAAUAAUAAUAAUAAGCGCGUGUCGGACAAUAUUGUUAUACAUUUAUAAUACGGUAAACGGAUAAACUAUGCGCUAUUUCGAAUUAAAAUGCCGAGGGCGAAAACGUUCAACAUAUUAUAAUAUUAUACAAAUUACAAUGGGCGCGCUGCGUUUAAUAUCCUUAUACAACAUACAGAAGGCUCGUUGAAAUGAAUCGUUUCAAAGGGUCACGACGAGAAAACAUACUGAACUGCGUAUAGUAUAAUACCGCAAACAAAAGACAUUUCGAACCGCGGCGGAAAGUUUAGCAGACUAUUUUUUCGUCAACUGGCAUAAAUUAUAAUAUAUUACCAUGACAAACGAAUAUCGACUUAAGAGACGUCGCACGUUAUCCAAAACAACCUUUACUCGCAUUUGAUUUCGUACCGAUGUAGCUAUAGAUAACUGACGAGAAUUAUAAUUAGCGUUAAUCAGACAAUCGGUAAAACAAACGUUACAUCCGAUAACAGUUCAAUUCCGCCGAAUUACGGUACCCAAGAUGUCUAGAACAAUAAAAUGCGCUUAAACUUAGGAGUGUUAUAAUAUUACCGAAAUUGGGUUGUGUUUUUUAAAUUCGAUACCUAGUAUAUAAAUCGUACAUGACAAGAGUAUUUAUUUAUAUCGCUCGAUCAUUAUGUUAGUUUAAUGACUUCAAUGGACCCCAUCACUCGUUCCUAUUCGUCUCAGCUACAUUUCGGUUCUUUGUUAAUGGUUCUUCUCGUGUCUUCUACGAUCAGUUUCGUAAACGGAGUUCUUGGCAUACUUCUCACAUACAUGCUUGCUCUUUUCGCAAUACCAUAACUAACUCGUAAUACUCGAAUAGCCCGUGGAAACCGAACGUUCGAUAUCACUAAUAAAGACGUUAAUAUUUGUGUUUUGUUUUUUUAUUUUUAGAUCUCUACGAUAUAAGAUACAAAAGUCAUAUAGAAUCAAUCAUGGGUUGUUUUUGUACUAGCGCCCGGACGCACCAUUGCAAAAUCGUGUUGCUCGACGACCAAGAAUUCGUGCACGAAAUACAGGUAAAAUUAUUGUAUAAAUUAUAAUAUUAUACAGUAGACGGUUUUAUGACAAACAAAUUACACCGGAAAAAUGUAGUUUAAAACGUGACGUAUACAAUAAAAUAACAAAUUAAAAUAAUAUU
rnacentral:lncRNA from 1 species